rnacentral:sRNA from 1 species
GUAACCGCAAUCGCGAGUGGCUGGCGAGCGAAGAUCAGCGCCCGCUGCCGCCUCACUGUUGUCUCCUUUGUGCUCAGUGACGCGCCGCCUGAGGCUGGGGCCCCGCUGUGCUCCCGCCCCCGGGCCCUGCCCCCCUCCUACGGGAGGGUCGCGUCUUUAGGUGGGGGCUUUGUAUCCUAAAGGCCUCAUAAAAAAGGCCACACGGGUCACCUAAAACAUAAUCGUUCCCCUGAGCGGUGUAGUCAGCAUUCUGUGGUCGGGUUCGCAGGAUGUUUACUGCAUGCUUGCCUCCGUCUCAUGCACUCUUUUUGCACCCGGAAUUAGAGGAGAGAUGGUAGAUGGCCAUAAAAACCCCGAAUACAACGUACAGAAUGAAGAGCAGCUGAUAAAAUUCCGGGCCAGUUUGGAGUAAAGUGUGUACACAAUCAGCUGGGAGAACUGAGUCAUUCAUUCAUCAAAAUCGCAUGAAUGUGUCUACCAAGUGUGAUGUUAGACAACCUCUCCUGUUUCAUCUCCUGGCAACAGAAUGCAUCCUCCUUUUGGGA